CAUUGUUACUUGCUUCAUGAUUAUCAUUUCAUUGUGAUUCCACAACAAGUAAUUGGGGCAACCAUCAAGCAUCACAUUUGCCAAAAAAAUGGGUCUAAUGGAAACUGCCUUUGUGUGACAGAAUUUGAUGUGGAGGUUGUGGGGCCUGCCUAAUUUUGUAGGAUCUCAUUCCUAAAUGGAUACUAUAUAGGAAGUUAUCAUUUUGAAGACUAUGGAGCUGUUCAAAUUUUUUUUUUU